UUGAAGCAAGAAGAUAAAGGAUUAUCUGU
rnacentral:piRNA from 1 species